rnacentral:rRNA from 1 species
UACGGAGGGUGCAAGCGUUAUCCGGAUUUACUGGGCUUAAAGGGUGUGUAGGCGGACUUUUAAGUCCGUGGUGAAAUCUCCGGGCUCAACCCGGAAACUGCCAUGGAUACUAUUGGUCUUGAAUAUUGUUGAGGUGGGCGGAACGGGUCAUGUAGCGGUGAAAUGCAUAGAUAUGACCCGGAACACCGAUUGCGAAGGCAGCCCACUAAGCAAUGAUUGACGCUGAGGCACGAAAGCGUGGGGAUCAAACAGG